UAGUAAAUAAAAAUGUUAUUAUAAGAGAUUUUGAGGAUCUAUGAUUGUUCAUGAUUCAUUCUUUUUUGCUAUUCCGUGAUUAUUAAUGCUUGAAAUUUGAGGUUGCAGCUUCUGCUUACUAAUAUACUUCAUGUUGCUGCUGAACUUUUGUUGAAACUUUUAUAGUGUGAAACAGAAUGUAUAUUUUGGUAUAUCAGUUAAU
rnacentral:lncRNA from 1 species